AAAGCAGUUACUAGGCUAACCUUAACUAACCUUAGGUGUAGCUUGCAGUCAACUAGCUAGCUAGCUAGCUAACAUUAGCUAGUAUGGGAAAUACAUGCCUUAGCUAAGUUUUAAAAAUGUGUAACUUUGACGAAUGAAAGCCUCUUAACUUGUUUUCUGGAGUUCUUUAUCCAUCAAGCCAAGCUGGUAAACUAGCAGCACCAAGUCAUUGCAGAAUUUAAGAAAGAAACGGCACACAGGAUUUUGAACAGUGUCUAAGGAUGGAUGCCAUCCAAGCACAGAGAGCAUGCUGGGAGGUUUUUACAAGGUUCAGCUCAAGUAUUGUCUUUGUCAACACUUUGAUCAAGCAAGUGGAGCUCAGUGUGACAGUCUGGCAGGGUAAUUGGGCUGGAAUUGCCAGUACACGAGGGUAUAUGUGUGAAAACACACACAUGGCUGUGCACAUACGCCCCUUUUUAUAUUGCCUUAAUAAUACUUUACAAAUAAAAGUCAACUCUUGCAGGAGUUAAAUUUGAAAAUUAAAUUUGUAAAAUGUAA